rnacentral:lncRNA from 1 species
CAAUGUUGAAUGGCUCUAAGAGCAGUAUCAUAUCCCAAAAUAGUAUCAACUUUUCACUCUUGGCUCGGAUGGUUGGAUGAAUUUUUUGUUAGAUGUGUGCCCUAGAUACCAGAUUGGCUGACACAUUCCUGUACAAAUCUAAGGACAAAUUUAUAAUUUUGACUAUAAAUCAAUAAAUGGGUUAUUCUUCUAUCACAUUGUGUACAUUGUAUCUGUAAAACAUCCUUUGAGU